UAGACGUGUAGUUUUAUGUGAUUGUGUUCGAAAUAUUAGUGAAAUGGCUCCUAUUGCUCUGACUCUGAUGAGUCAUCAGACGAGAGUGAAGAUGAAGAUGCAAUGAGCGGAGUAGAAGAGUUAUAAGAUUCAGUCAUUAUGAGGUCGAGAAUUGGACAGUUGGUCACAUUGUGUUUUAUGGACUUCCUUUUAAUAAAACAUUAAUUUUA